rnacentral:rRNA from 1 species
CUGCCCAGUGACUUCUAAGUUAAACGGCCGCGGUAUUCUGACCGUGCAAAGGUAGCAUAAUCAUUUGUUCCCCAAUUAGGGACUAGUAUGAAUGGCUAGACGAGGAUUCAACUGUCUCUUAUUCCCAAUCAGUGAAAUUGACCUUCCAGUGAAGAGGCUGGAAUAAAACAACAAGACGAGAAGACCCUAUGGAGCUUUAAUUAACUAGCCUAAUUAUAAUACUCACACCCUAAUGGCACAAAACCAUAAACAUUAAGCUAACAAUUUUGGUUGGGGUGACCUCGGAGAACAAAAAAUCCUCCGAAUGAUUAUAGCACAGACAAACAAGUCAAAGCAAUCCGCUAUAUCUAAUUGACCCAAAAUACUUUGACCAACGGACCAAGUUACCCUAGGAAUAACAGCGCAAUCCUAUUUAAGAGUCCAUAUCGACAAUUAGGGUUUACGACCUCGAUGUUGGAUCAGGACACCCCAAUGGUGCAGAAGCUAUUAAGGUUCGUUUG